UAGGGAAUCUUCCACAAUGGACGCAAGUCUGAUGGAGCAACGCCGCGUGAGUGAAGAAGGUUUUCGGAUCGUAAAGCUCUGUUGUUGGUGAAGAAGGAUAGAGGCAGUAACUGGUCUUUAUUUGACGGUAAUCAACCAGAAAGUCACGGCUAACUACGUGCCAGCAGCCGAGGUAAUACGUAGGUGGCAAGCGUUGUCCGGAUUUAUUGGGCGUAAAGCGAGCGCAGGCGGAAUGAUAAGUCUGAUGUGAAAGCCCACGGCUCAACCGUGGAACUGCAUAGGAAACUGUCAUUCUUGAGUGCAGAAGAGGAGAGUGGAAUUCCAUGUGUGGCGGUGGAAUGCGUAGAUAUAUGGAAGAACACCAGUGGCGAAGGCGGCUCUCUGGUCUGCGACUGACGCUGGGGCUCGAAAGCAUGGGUAGCAAACAGG
rnacentral:rRNA from 1 species